rnacentral:snoRNA from 1 species
UACACAUUUUUGAUGACAUAUAGUUCAGUUGACUUAUUCUAUGAUAACUAAACUGAUGCAAUUGUCUUUCGCCUCUAUCUGAUAAUGUGUU